rnacentral:rRNA from 1 species
GUGUUUGUCACUGGUAAGGGCGUAUGGUGGAUGCCUUGGUAGACAGGACCGAUGAAGGACGUGACGGGCUGCGAUAUGCCUCGGGGAGCUGCCGAGUGGGCUUUGAUCCGAGGAUUUCCGAAUGGGGAGACCCGGCCACUGUUAUGAGUGGUCACCACAGUUUUUGUGGGGGGUACGCAGGGAAGUGAAACAUCUCAGUACCUGCAGGAAAGGAUACUCCGUGAGUAGUGGCGAGCGAAAGCGGAUCAGGCUAAACCGGGUGCGUGUGAUAGCCGUCAGGUGUUGCGCAUUCGGGGUCGUGGGAUGGACUGUUCAGCCUCUGACGGGGUUGAGGAGAGUGAUAAAAUGUCGUGCUAGGUGAAUGGGAUUGAAUUUCCAGCCGUAGAGGGUGAUGGCCCCGUAGCUUGUCGUGCGAUGUCUCUUUAUGUUUAUUCCCAAGUAGCGCGGGACUCGUGGAAUCCCGCGUGAAUCUGCCCAGACCGUUGGGUAAGCCUAAGUAUUCCUGUCUGACCGAUAGUGUACUAGUACCGUGAGGGAAAGGUGAAAAGCACCCCGGGAGGGGAGUGAAAUAGUUCCUGAAACCGUGCGCUUACAAUCCGUCGGAGCCUUCUUUGUGGGGUGACGGCGUGCCUAUCGAAAAAUGAGUCUGCGAGUCAGUGGUAUGUGGCGAGGCUAACCCGGGUGGGGGAGCCGUAGCGAAAGCGAGUUUUAAAAGGCGUUUGAGUCGCAUGUCCUGGACCCGAAGCGGGAUGAUCUAGCCCUGAGCAGGUUGAAGCGCGGGUAAGACCGUGUGGAGGACCGAACCCACCUAGGUUGAAAACUGGGGGGAUGACUUGGGGUUAGGGGUGAAAGGCCAAUCAAAUUCCGUGAUAGCUGGUUCUCUCCGAAAUGCAUUUAGGUGCAGCGUCGUGUUAUUGCUUACAGGGGGUAGAGCUACUGGAUGCUUGCGGGCCCAUACCGGGUACCAAUAGCAGCCAAACUCCGAAUACCUGUUAGGUUUAUCACGGCAGUGAGUCGGCGGGGGAUAAGCUCCGUCGUCAAAAGGGAAACAGCCCUGAUCGUCGUCUAAGGUCCCGAAGCGCGUGCUAAGUGGGAAAGGAUGUGGAGUCGCAUAGACAGCCAGGAGGUUGGCUCAGAAGCAGCCAUCCUUGAAAGAGUGCGUAACAGCUCACUGGUCUAGUGGUUCCGCGCCGACAAUGUAGCGGGGCUUAAGCACGCCACCGAAGACGCGGCUGCAUGANNNNNNNNNNNNNUUCAUGCGGGGUAGGAGAGCGUCCUGUAUGGGGUGAAGCGGCAGUGUGAACUUGUCGUGGACUUUACAGGAGUGAGAAUGCAGACAUGAGUAGCGAGAGACGGGUGUGAAUCCCGUCCGCUGAAUGACUAAGGGUUCCGGGGCCACGUUCGUCGUCCCCGGGUGAGUCGAGUCCUAAGGCGAGGCCGACAGGCGUAGUCGAAUGGAUGAACGGGUUGAUAUUCCCGUACCGGUGUUACACCGUUCGAACUGAAUCUGAGAGUACUAACCUUCAUUUUCUUGUUGAUUGCCUUUCGGGGUUGUUGAUGGGUUUGUGUUGGGACUGUAUCGGUAGUAGGUUAGCGUGGGAGUGACGCGGGUAGGUAGCCGGCUGCGGAGGUGGUUUUCCGUGGCUAAGCGUGUGGGCUGUCUCCUAGGUAAAUCCGGGGGAUGUUAAGCUGAGGCGUGAUGGGUAGGCUGUAAGGCUGAUUCCGGUGAUCCUGCUUGCCAAGAAAAGCUUCAACGUGAGGUGUGAUUCCGCUCGUACCCUAAACCGACACUGGUGGUCUGGUAGAGUAUACCGAAGCGAUCGGGCGAAUCCUGGCCAAGGAACUCGGCAAAUUACUCCCGUGCCUUCGGCAUAAGGGAGACCCCUGAUGGUGAUAUGGUUUUACAUUGUUGAGCUGUUGGGGGUGGCACAAGCUAGGGGGUAGCGACUGUUUACCAAAAACACAGGAGCGUGCGAAGGCGUAAGCCGCUGUAUACGCUCUGACGCCUGCCCGGUGCCGGAAGGUUAAGAGGAUCCGUUAGCUUCGGUGAAGCGGUGAAUUUAAGCCCCGGUAAACGGCGGUGGUAACUAUAACCAUCCUAAGGUAGCGAAAUUCCUUGUCGGGUAAGUUCCGACCUGCACGAAUGGCGUAACGACUUCCCCACUGUCUCGGCCAGGAGCCCGGCGAAAUUGCAGUACGAGUAAAGAUGCUCGUUAAGCGCAGAAGGACGAAAAGACCCCGGGACCUUUACUAUACCUUGGUAUUGUCGUUAGGUGUGGAUCGUGUAGCAUAGGCGGGAGGCUGUGAAGCGUGGGCGCUAGCUUGCGUGGAGUCGACAGGUGAAAUACCGCUCUUUCCAUAUCUGGCGUCUAACCUCGACGCGUUAUCCGUGUCAGGGACAGUGCCUGGCGGGUAGUUUAACUGGGGCGGUUGCCUCCUAAAGAGUAACGGAGGCGCUCAAUGGUCCGCUCAGCCCGGUUGGCAAUCGGGUGUUGAGUGUAAUCGCACAAGCGGGCUUGACUGUGAGACUGACGGGUCGAGCAGGGACGAAAGUCGGAGAUAGUGAUCCGGUGCCGGCGUACGGACGUGGCAUCGCUCAACGGAUAAAAGGUACCCCGGGGAUAACAGGCUGAUCAUUCCCAAGAGUCCAUAUCGACGGGAUGGUUUGGCACCUCGAUGUCGGCUCGUCGCAUCCUGGGGCUGGAGCAGGUCCCAAGGGUUCGGCUGUUCGCCGAUUAAAGCGGCACGCGAGCUGGGUUCAGAACGUCGUGAGACAGUUUGGUCUCUAUCCUCUGCGCUCGUUGGAAUGUUGAGGAGACCUGCCCAUAGUACGAGAGGACCUGGGUGGACGAACCUCUGGUAUGCCGGUCGUCACGCCAGUGGCGCUGCCGGUUAGCUACGUUCGGAAGGGAUAACCGCUGAAAGCAUCUAAGCGGGAAGCCUGCUCCAAGAUAAGCAUUCCUUGCACUUUAGUGUGUGAGCCCCCAUGUAGAACACGUGGUUGAUAGGCUAGAUGUGGAAGCCCUGUAAGGGGUGGAGCUGACUAGUACUAACGGGCGAUGGUGACA